CACUGGAACAGGCUGCCCAGAGAGGUUGUGGAAUCUCCUUCUAUGGAGCUAUUCAAGACCCAUCUGGACAUCUACCUGUGUGACUGCUUGUAGGGGACCUGCUUUAGCAUUGGGGUUGGGCUCGAUGACCUCCAGAGGUCCCUUCCAACCCUUGCAAUUCUGUCAUUCUAUGAAAAGCAUUUUCUGGACCUGGGUAAUGCCCUUCUGCCAUUAGUUCACAGACAACGGAGUCUGGGCCUGCGUGUCUGGAACACUGGGAGUUUCCCACUGAGGCUUUUGAAUCCAUUUGUCUAUUUUAGCCAUUUUUCUCUUUUUUCUCUAUCUAAUGCACCAGUAAUUUGUAUUGUAUUAGUAAAUCGAAAUCACACAGCAGAUAGAAGUACAGCUUGGGGUGAGCUCUCUGAGUCUGGCUGCUUAGCUGCACAUUCAGCACAGGCACUGAUCUUGGCCAGGCAUGUUGUUCAUAAAAACAUCUUGUUGCUAAUUUCAUAUAGCUAUCUGGGCUGGUCUGUUUAUUCUUUCUUCUAGUUACUGACCUUGCGUACCUUGUUCCUGGUCCCUGUGUAUGCUGUAUGUAUUACAGAAUUAUAUAAAUACAAGUCGCGGUUUUAUAUUCUUUUACUAUUUGGCAACUUUAGCAGUUCUUUUGGCAUUUUAUUUCAAAUUAAUCACUCCCUAAGCAAACUACAAGGGCUUUUGUGGAAUCCUCAUUACAAUUACUUAAAUUUGACCAUUAUACAGUUUAAAUAGUAACAAUAAAUAAAUAUUGGAAAACUGAAAGUAGAUUAUGUAGCACAGCACUGAAUACAUCAUUACAAAGAUUAGACUAUGGCCAGACAACUUUUCUCUGAAUACUCAGCAUAAAUAACCUGUUCAGUCUUUGGCACUGAACAGAGAAUCACAGACUCAGUUAAGUUGGAAAAGACCUGCAGGAUCACCGCAUCAGGAUCAUCAACCUGACCUACAGAGUCCCAUCACUAAAACACAUCUCUUAGUGCCACAUCUCCACAUUUCUUAGUCCAGACUCAGUUUUUGAAGUGUUGCAUUAAAAGUCUAAAUGCCAGAAAAUUUUAGAUACUGCAGAAUCUCUCUGUAAAGAGUUUAGUAAUACAGUCCAAAAGUUUAAUGAGAUUUCACUGAAGGUAAUUUCUGGAAGAGAAAUGAUUCAAAUGCAGAAAGUGGCCACAAUGUCCUGUCUUUUUUAUUUCUGGAUUCCAAACUGAUUCAGAUGAGGUUUCCCUUAGCUGGAUUGCAAAAGUCUUAGUUCUGAAAUAAUUCAAAAUUAGGCAAAGCUUUUUGGAUGAUGCAUUCAUCGUCCAAGAAUCUUGGAUAGGUAGGAACAGUCUAUUUCCGUUUUUAUUGCAAUUUAAGAUCUUCAUUAGUUGAAAUGAUUGUUAAGUACUGUCUCGAGGAUGAAGACAUUCUCUCCUAUGGAAAAUAACUAAUUUCCAUAAGCCAAGUAUGUCAUAAAAUGAAAUCUCAGAUCCAUCAGCCUAAAAAUUCUAUGAAGUCCACUGCAUUUUAAAAUGUUUUUAAGUUUCUCUAAAUUUGUUUCAAGUCUGGAUCUCAGUGUUAGCAGAGGCUAUGUAAUAGCUGAAUAUGUGACAUUACCAAAAUGAUGAUAGAUCUCAGGGAAUGGCAAAAUGUAUGACGGUCUUUGUUCCCAAAGCAGUACUCAGGACAUAGGUCUUUUGCAACAGCAAGCUAUCAUUAUUUAACUGGAAUUUCACACAGAGAAGGUACAUCGCUAGAAUAUUGCUGAUUUUAUUAAUCAGGUAUAUGUUAUCUAGGCUUUGGAAGUGCCCAAAGAUUUUUGUGUGUGAGGAAAUUUGUAAUUCACUUUUCUUAUUCCUGCUCAAAAACUUUCGUAUAUUUGGAAAUGAAAAUUUCAAAGAUGUUUAUUUGGUGAUGCUGAGACUUUUUUUUUUUCUACAGUGCAUUUUUCUUCUAGACUUCAGAAACGUACAAAAAUCCUCAAAAUGCUCACCUCUCAGCCUAACAAGCUUGAAAAUGAAACCCAACCCAUUCCCUCACCUUUUGCGCAAGUUUCCAGUUUCAUGAGUUGUUCUGCUUACUGCCCAUCCCACAGUUUAUCGAGAAUCUCCAUCUGCACUUUGGAGGAACAUCUACAUUUCAGCGGCACAUAGACAAACAGAUUUGUACAUGUUUCCUUUGGUUCUUCCCACCUGAUACCCAAUCUGUAACUCUCUGGGCGCCUGUCCCCGUACUCUGGCAGAGGAAUGUUGUUCACCCGUGCCCUGACUUAGGGCUGAUUUUCUAUUGACUUUUGCUCUACUGCUGUGGACACAGAUGAGACACUCAGAUGGUCUCACAUUGCACAGAUUCCAGAUAUUUUCGAAUACUUGAAAAGGAGAAUGCUGAUACACCUCUUUUACUUUAUGAGCUUAGUGCAACAAUAAGUACAUCCUCUUGAUGUUUUCUGAUGAGCAAUAGUAAUGCUGCUGUUUUCCUGAGGUGGCCGUAUGGUUAAGGAGUACUUUACUUUAAUACACAGCAAAUAAAGGAGUGACAAUCUGAAAAAAAUCAUCCCCCCAGGUGCAUUUGGCAAAUAUUCUUCUCCUUUAGUAUAAUACAUCAUUUUUGUUAACUAUUUGUUCUCCUGAUGCUUUAAGGACAAAUAUAAAACAUGCAUAAAUACUUCUGAGCAGGCAAAAGUAGGAGCUCCCAAAAUUUUGUUCCAAGAUUCUUAUAAUUUUGUAACAGAAAUAGCCAUGCAACUUAUUUCCACAUUUGUACGAUGUAAGUUUGAACUUAGAGCUGUCUCCAACUGUAAUAAAAAGCAGGACAAAAGAAAUGUCCUGUCCUAAUGGAAAAUUGUUACAUUAUUAAGAAUAGUGGGAUUAGAGAAAAAUGUACUUUGUACAAAUGCUAUGUUUGUCAUUAGUACCUCAAAUUUGUGAAAUUAAUGAAAGAUUUCCUUUUAAAUUAAUAACCAGAGACCCAUUCUAAGGCAGCAUUUAUCUGACAUUAUAAUUAAGAGAUGAUUGUGUUUAUUUAUUGUCAGGUAAUAAUAAUGCAUCAUUACUAAAAUAAUCAGCAAUCCUCCAACUCCCUUCCAAGGCAGGCAGAAAACAAGCACAAAUGCUAGAAACUUUGCAGGUUCAGCAAACAACACUUCCACCGAUCAGCUCUAGAGAACGCAGUACCAAAAGCCCAAAUCUCCCAGGCACAAAAACAAAUGUGACUGUACAAAGGUACAUUAAUCCUAUCAUAGACAACUCAUUUCCCGUUUUCUUCCCCUUAACCUGCUGCUCUGCUUUCCCUGUUCAUUGUUAAUUCGGCACUCAGCUCUCCUACCUGGGUGGAUGUCCCAUGUCUGCGUAAGAUGAACAAAAGGGAGAUAAUAGUAACAGUAUUAUUUCUCAUGAAGAAGUCAUCGCAAGUUUGUAACCAUUCUCCUCCUCUAGUUUUGGAGUUUCAGUUUGAUAGGGUAAAAAGAAAAACAAGCCUCCAAAGUAUGGAAGGAAUGGAAAAGGAAUUUGUGCUUCACUCUAAGAUGUUCUUCAUUAGUUUUUGCUCUUGUACAACUGAAUUAAAGAAGAAACUAUUGCAGCACGAUUUUCAGAUACCUUAAAUUCCACCAAUGUUCCCGAGCCUCAUUAAUGAAAACAGGAAAGUACCUCUCAGAAAAGUAAUUCCAAGUGGCCAAGCAAGUCACUGAGCAGGAAUGCACAAGGCAGAAGGAUUCAGCAGAACUUCAGGCAUCCAAAUGCAAGCUUACUUUGGCAGGCCCAAUUACUGAUGGUAAAUUGUAGGCUUGGCUGCUGCCUUGGUUUGAUCAUUUAAAUUUAAUGAUCUCAAUCUAAUUUGAAUGAAGUUAAUUCAUUGUCAAAGACUUAAAGUGUUCUGAUUCCUUUCUUAUUGGAUAUGAUUACUAGAUUAAAACACAAGCCAAUUAAUUUCAAAAACUGUGGCUUUGGAUAAAUACUUGAGGAUUUAUCUUCUCCUACACGUCUGUAUCUAUUUAUCUUCUUGUCUUGCUUCUUUGGUUAAUUUCUGGCAUUUGUGAAAUUAAGAAUGACAGCAUGGGCCAGAAUUAGACAAAAUGUCAGACAGAUACCAUGUAAACCUCCACAUUGCAGGUCAGCAAAUUAUUCCAGUCUGAAUCUGAACUCUUGUGGUCUAAGCUUAUACAGUGAUUGUCAAACUUGUCACUCAGUAAUGACUGUAUAAUGAGGAUAAAAUUUACCUAAUUGUAGUACAAGGAUGGAACAAGCAAAUUAAUGAAAAUAAGUGAAUCAUCAAGGGAAGAGAAACUGGAAGGACAGAUUGUCCAUCUUCCUGUCAGCAAAUCCAUUUGAAGACAAAAAUGGACAAACAUAAUCCUAGGAAGCAACUGGACCCAAAUAGACAGCACUUCCCACCAGUUAAUUCCCCAUCUUCCCCAGGUAUGUCUCAGAGGUGACCUUGUUCCAUCAAGAAGCAGCCCCGGGAAGAGGACUCAUUUGGAGAACCCCGAACGUCCAGUGGGGAGAGAUGCUUGACGAGGCUUGCUGGAGCUCCUAGCAAGUCCUCGUGGUUAGCUCCAGGUGUUCUUUUCCAGCACUUGGGCUUUCUGGCUUGCCUCCUUCUCUCUCUGGUGCAUUAGAGGAAGCUGUGACAACUCACAUAGGUGGCCUAAGUAAUGUCAGCAGAGACAGAAACCUGUGUUUUGGCUGUUACAACAGCUAAUGCAGGCUCCCCAAGAGAUGCUUUGAAACUGUCCCAGAGAGGGUUUCCAGCUUUCUACCAUGCUGGUAAGACAAUUCUCACAUCUCUGCAGCAGCCAAUAAUAGCAGGAUUUAUGAUUCCUGAGAAGAGGGAGGAUCCAUAAUAAUUUACUUUGUCAAGGGUAUGAUCUCAUAAUCUUUUUUUUUUUUUGGCCUAAUACCAGUUAAAUAUCUUCAAUUUUGUCUUGAGGGAAAUGCUUAUCCCAAAAGUAACACACGUUUUGAGAUGAUGUAGGAAUAGGGUAUGAUCACUGAUGUAAAACUACACAGUAGUUCCUGCUUAAAUGUGGUUAUCAGCUGGGCCCUGCUCUGUACAGCCUGAAGAAAUGGUAACCUAGAAAAAUGCUAUGUUUCAGAAGUGUCCACAUAAUUUAUUGCCACUGCACAUUGAGCUGGUUACAUGUAAAAAGAGUGUGUAUAGUUUAAUGUGAAGGCUUGAAGGAAAGCCAGCAAGGAAGAAUGGCUCAAGUCAUCACUUCAGAGUUGCUGAGAAAACAUCCUCACAGAACUAAACACAGUGAUCAUGAAUAAUAUCAGGACAUGAGGGAUGUAAGAAAGUUACCAUUCAAAACAGAGAGGAAGUCAUAAUCCCUACAGCGCUGUGCUAGGAGUGAGCUUACCUAGAUCACCAACCAAAAAUGAGAAAUAACACAAACAGGUACUUGUAGUAGACUUGUUUUUAAAUCUUCAAAAUUUUGCUCCCCCACUCGGAAUAAAUGUUACUUCUCACUUAAGAAGUGUAUUUGGGCAAGAAAUAUACCGCUGAUUGCAAAUUCCUGAAAAGGAAAAGCAGCUGCCAAAUCAGAUGAGACAACACAGGAACUAUAUAAAUGAGACUGGUCUAAGGGUGGAGACACAGAGACCCCAGUGCAUUCAUAAAGUGAAUGGAAAUGUCAUUUGUCUUGUGCCAUGCAGAACAGGCAGAUUCUGUGUGCCUUUGGACAAAAAGAAAGCAUUUUUCAUGGGCACCAUUGUGUGAAUUGCACUCAGCACUGUUUCUCCCUCUUGUAACAGCAUUGGCAGCAUCUAUAAGUUGUAUUUUUUCCAUCUUCAUUGUUCUUGUUUACUGUUUAGCAUACUCUGAGAUUUUUCUCUGCUUACUAAUUUGAAUGAAACAAGAAUUGACACACAAAUGCGUGUAGCAACUGUGUAAGGGGAGAUUCAGACACCAGCUUUACUCAUUGUCACUGCCUGCAAGGGACCGUGCUCCCUGGCUGGAGCAGGGCACAGCCUUUCCCACUGCACACCCCAAAAUGGGAGAUGUGCAGCAGUGCAUCCCUCUGCACUGGGGACAAGUGCAUUUACCUAGGAAUGCCCCUGCAGCGUCGACUGUUAUCACUGUUUCACUGGGAGCUCUAGCAGCAAGGAUUCAGCCAGGUAUUGGCCAGGAUGUUACCUUUGAUCGCAUGGAUCUAUGGCCGAAAGGGUUUGUUUGUUCUCCUAUUUUUAGGUCUGAGGCAUAGCAAUAAUGGUUGCUUUUGACAAUCUUUUUACCCCAUGCUGUCUUUAUUUUAUUUUCUUUCCAGCAGAAAGACAUUUCUCCAACAGCCCCAUUUCUACAUAGCAGAAAUAAAUAAUGUGAUAAUGACACGCAUUUGCUUAGCAUGGGCUUAAACCAGAGUCAUGGGAGGGCUUUUAGUCUGAGCACUAAUGCAUGACUGCUGCUAAAAUUUUAGAGACAAGAUAAUCCUUUUUUUUUUAAUUCUUGGAGGCUUUUUGAGGAUGAUUCAUACUUAUUUGCAUAGGAAAAAAAAUCAAAACCAGGACUGCAUCACUGCAUCUAUACAGUUUUUGAAAUGUUUUGACACAUUUUCAGAGAUUUACUAGGUAAUUUCAAAUGCUUGUCGGGCAAUUUAUAAUCCAUUAUUUUGCACUACAAACUGCAUCCUUGAGUUUAUUUUAUGGCAUAGACAUAAAGUAAACUAAGUGACAACAGCACCAAUUCUUUCUCUUUUAUCUAUGAGAAUGACCUUCAGUAAACAGAAUCCAAGGGAUAUUGCACAUGCAUUUUGAUGUUUAUUUAUAUUAAUGGGAAUGUUGGGAUUACUGUCCCUGAGUAAAUGAGGAAGCAAGCCUUGGCUUAGGGUGACGGAACAAUCCAAUUAUUUAGUAAGAUGCGUGUCACAAGAAUGUUUCAGGGUCAGUGUUGCAUCAAAAGAUGCACAGCUUUGGAACCACUUUGGGGCCUUGGUUUUCUAAUAUUAGCUGCUGAGAAAACUGUGGAAAUCUGGCUUAUUUCUCUGUGAGCUGAUGGGUUUCCUGAUUACAUUGGGAUCAGUGUGAAAUACAACCAGAAAUCUCCCACUCAUUUUAGGUCAGAAUUAUUCACCCCAAACUGGAGAAAGAUUAUACUAAAGGAGAGAAGUAAUUAAGCAUUAUAUACUAUAAUCUUGAUGUUAACUUGGCUAUUUUAGUUCCAAUUCUUCUUUCUUUCUUUGAUUUUAUCAGAAAUCAGUGAAGCAACUCUGUGUAACUCUUCUAUUAAGCACUAGAAGUAAAGAAGAACUGAAGAUAGAGAAAAAUAAAUGACACUGGGUAAAAGACAAGAGCUCCGCCCUGAAUUUCAGGGCAUAAAGAUUUUUUUACAUAGAAAAUAACUUAAAAAAGAAGGAGGAAGGUAAGAGGUAUGGAGGAAGAGAAAGGAAAGGUAUGACUGACCUUCAGUUCAGCAUUAAUUUGUGCUGCCAUUUCAGGAAUACUGGAAUUUUAAGCGUUUGUUUUCCCCAGUGUUUGGAAUCACUUCAUAUUUUUGUACUAGAACUGAACUUCUACAGUGAUAAACAUGGUUAGCUCCAAGCAUUUGGUUUGUCAUCAGCUGAGAGCAGAAGGAAAGCCUCGUUUAUUCUCUUGGAAAGCUGCUGUUCCUCCAGUUCCAAAAGACACAAGUAAUUUACUCAACUCUUUUUUAAAGGAAAGAUUAUAGUUGGAUGAUUCUUCUUACAGAAUGUCUUCCAUUUUGUCCUAAAUCUUCUUUGUUUUUGUUUUGGCAUUGGUUUAUCAUGAUGAGCACCACUAAAGAUACAAAAAAAACCCCGCUAUUUAUUUUAUUAUACACCCAUUUGUCACCUGUCCUCCAUAGUAUUGUAAUGAAAUAAGAAAAAAGAAAACAUUGCUAUUUAGUAGAAGCAGUGCUGUGUGUUGGGAGGAGCAGUACUACAGUGCCACUACUCUAAAAAAGGCCAUUGUUUAGCAUAAGGAAAUAUACUCUGCUCUUAUAGUAAACUUAAGCUCUAUCCUGUUGGAACAGUCAAUAGACUCAGAGAAUAGCUAGGAAUAUAUUCUGUAUGUAGCAUAAUACGUGAUCUUUUAGGACCAGGGGAACUGAGCCAAUGUUCCUACUACAAUACAAAACAGAAAACUCAAGUUUGAAGUCCUGUCUAGUGGAAGUGUGUCCAGUCGGAAGAAACUGAUUUGUCUAAGUACUCCAUCUGUGAGACAGCAAAGCAGAACAGAAGCUUUUCAAAACAAGAAGAGAAACUUACGCCUUUGAUGCGUGUGGCAAGCCUGUCACUGCUGGGAAGACUUGUUAGAAGGCAGCUCUGUGAUUGUCAGAGUGGGAAGCAACCAGAGCAAGAUGCUGGCACGUGACAUGCCUGUCACUGUGUAUGCCAUAAGCUAAGCACGAUGAGAAAGCCUGCUGUUCAGGUGACUACUGAUGAUUAUGUAAGCCAUUACUGCUGCUCUUCAACCCCCUGGCAUGCUCUUCCCUGCUGGAAGGCAUACUGCUAGCACCCACAUUCCCACCCUGCAGAGCCAGGGACAAGCAAAGGAGAUGCUGCUGUUCAAGAAGGCAACCCAGAAGGCAUCAAAAGAGCUUUGACUGCUUUUUAUUUCUACUACUACUUUAUGAUGAUUUAAACUCCAAAAUGUGAAUUAUAAUCCCUGAAAAAUUUGUAUUUGCUGUUAUCUCUGAAUAAUCUAGCAUCUAAAAUAAACUCCCAGCUUCUUUUUGCAUUUUACGAAAUUCUUCAUCUCAAGUGAUUUCCAGUUUUCAAGGAUAUGGUGAGAAGCUGCAGAUUCUACAUUUUUCUACAGCUACAGAUUCUACAAAAGGCAUGAAAAAGAUUUUCCUUUUAUCAGGGUUGCUUACUCUCUUGGACUC